rnacentral:rRNA from 1 species
CAGUCGCCGCGGGAAAACGUAGGUGGCAAGCGUUGUCCGGAAUUAUUGGGCGUAAAGGGCUCGCAGGCGGUUUCUUAAGUCUGAUGUGAAAGCCCCCGGCUCAACCGGGGAGGGUCAUUGGAAACUGGGAAACUUGAGUGCAGAAGAGGAGAGUGGAAUUCCACGUGUAGCGGUGAAAUGCGUAGAGAUGUGGAGGAACACCAGUGGCGAAGGCGACUCUCUGGUCUGUAACUGACGCUGAGGAGCGAAAGCGUGGGGAGCGAACAGGAUUAGAUACCCCGGUAGUCCCUGUCUCUUAUAC